ACCGCGUGUGCGAAGAAGGCCUUCGGGUCGUAAAGCACUUUUUGGAAGGAAUAGGAAGGAAUGUACUUCCAGAAUAAGUCUCGGCUAACUACGUGCCAGCAGCCGCGGUAACACGUAGGAGGCAAACGUUAUCCGGAUUUACUGGGCGUAAAGCGCGUGUAGGUGGUACUGUAAGUAGGGCGUGAAAGCUCCUGGCUCAACUAGGAGAGGCCGUUCUAAACUACAGAACUAGAGGAUGGUAGAGGGAGGUGGAAUUCCAGGUGUAGCGGUGGAAUGCGCAGAUAUCUGGAGGAACACCGGUGGCGAAGGCGGCCUCCUGGACCAUUCCUGACACUCAGACGCGAAAGCUAGGGUAGCAAACGGGAUUAGAGACCCCGGUAGUCCUAGCCCUAAACGAUGUAGACUAGGCGUCGGAAGUUUAAUCACUUUCGGUGUCCAAGCUAACGCGAUAAGUCUACCGCCUGGGGACUACGGCCGCAAGGUUAAAACUCAAAGGAAUU
rnacentral:rRNA from 1 species